rnacentral:rRNA from 1 species
UACGGGGGGGGCAAGCGUUGCUCGGAAUUAUUGGGCGUAAAGCGCACGUAGGUGGUCUGUUAUGUCAGAUGUGAAAGCCCUCGGCUUAACUGAGGAAGUGCACCUGAAACUGGCAGGCUUGAGUACGAAAGAGGGUCGCGGAAUUCCCGGUGUAGAGGUGAAAUUCGUAGAUAUCGGGAGGAACACCGGUGGCGAAGGCGGCGACCUGGUUCGAUACUGACACUGAGGUGCGAAAGCGUGGGGAGCAAACAGG